UAAAUUCUCUUCAACCCUCUUUGCUUAUGCAUGCAGCAGUGUUAUCUUCUUGCGUGUUUGGUUCAACUUAUUUUUAUGAGAAUAACUUUUUGAUCAGUUUUUCUUAUAGUAUCAUAGCCGGUCUCUUAUCUAGCUAAAGGAGGAAGGUUGUGUUACGUCAUCAGUAGCCAACGUAAAAUUCGUUGAUAUACCUCAAAUCCAUUCAUAGUGGGGUUGUGUUAUGCCUUCGGUAAACAAUAAUGUCAAAUUCGUCGAUAUACCUAAAAUCACUCAUAGUCUCAUAUCUGGCUAAAGGAGAAAGGUUGUGUUACGUCUUCAGUAACCAAUGUAAAAUUCGUCUAUAUAUACCAAACAUGAAU
rnacentral:lncRNA from 1 species